UCAGCGGGUGAUGAGAUGUCCUUGUUCGA
rnacentral:piRNA from 1 species